rnacentral:lncRNA from 1 species
UGCCCUUUACUAAACUGUACAAGAUCCAGCGAUAUUCUAGGCUUGAUCCCUGUGGGACACCUUUCCCUACACCAUGUCCGGGAGCCAUAAUUCCAGGGAGUUUGUAACCCUCUAGAGCGGGCCUCUGUUGCUGUUUCUUAGCAACAGACGAACUGGAAAAUGACCAGUACAAAAUGCACAGACUUUAACUACUCUACCUCCAGCUUACAUUCUACCAGGCCCUUAGUCCCACAGACAGGAACCAAAGCCAGCAGAACAAAGCAGCCCCAGAUGUGUUCUACUCUAUUAUCUGAAGUAAAUGAAAAUCAACCCUGAGGUAUGUUUUUAUAUUCUGUCUACCAAAAUAAUGUGCAUUCUGUUUAUUGAACUGCUCUUAUUUCUUCCUUGCAAUCUGUUACUUUCAUUUUCAUUCCUGCCAAGAGAGAAAUAAAAAAGUUGCUCAUAAUUUCUAAGGCGAUUUAGACCUACUUUUUUGGCCUGUAAUGGAAAUCUGCGGUUUCUUUAGUCUGAUCCUAGGUAAAGCUGAUUUUAGUGAAGCCAGGGGUUUUUACACAUUAAAAAGAAAAAAAUGGAAUGGUGGAAUAAACUGAGUUAGGGAGUCCUGAGGUUUAUGUGGAUUCUCUUACCUAUGUAACCACUAGGCAUGCCAUGGUGGAUAGAAUAAUUCCCACCCCCACACGUCUUCCCUGACAAGAUGUCCAUAUCCUAAUCCUCAGAGCCUGUGACUAUGUCACCUUAUAAAGCAAAAGGUACUUUGCAUAUGUGAUUAAGUCAAGGACAUUGAUAUGCAAAGAUUAUCCUGAAUUCUGAGUGGGCCCAAUUUAAUCACAACAGUUCUUAUAAGGGAGAGUCAGGAGUGACAAAGUAAGAGAAGCAGGUCUGAUGAUGGAAGCCGAGGUCACAAUGAUGCCAAGAAGAGGCCAUGAACCAAGGAAGGCAGAGGGCCUCUGGAUGCUGCAAAAGGAAAGGAAAUAGACCUCUUGGAACCUCUAGAAGGAAAGCAGCCAUGCUGACACUUAGAUAUUUGGAAUUCUGAUCUCUAGAUCUAUAAGCUAAAAAAAUUCUGUUUUUUUUUAAGUCACUAAGAUUAUAACAAUUUGUCACAGCAGCAGUAGGAUACUAAUUCAGUAUGUCAAGUAGCUUUCCUAACCCAAAUUCUGAGACAUCUCAGGGACCUGGGUAUGGACUAAAUGUUUGCGUCUUUCUAAAAUUCAUAUGUUGAAGCUCUAACCUCCACUGUGAUGGUUUUUAGGGCCUUUGGGAGGUAAUUCUAUUUAGAUAAGACAUUGAUAUGGGCCCUCCAAGGUGAGAUUAGUAUCCUUAUUAAGAGAAAGAGACCAGAGCUUCCUCUCUACCAUGUGAGGAUACAUCAAAAAGAUAACCGUCUGCAAGUCAGGAAGCGGGACUUUACCAAGAACUGGAUCUGCCUGUAUCUUGAUCUUGGACUUCUCAGUUUCCAGAACUGUAAGAAAUUGAUUUGUGUUGUUUAAGCCACCCAGUCUAUGGUAUUUUGUUAUAGCAGUCUGAGCUGACAAAGCAGACCUAGAAGUUACAUUUCUAUGUUAAUCUUUCAGAAAUAUCAAUAAUAGUGGAAAGUCUCCCACUCUACUUCUACAUAUAUCCUAGUACUGUGUGUGUCAAUCUCAUAUUCUACUGUUGGCCAUGCUGUGUUUCACUGAGAAAAUGGCAAUACUGGUGCUGCUUAUAUAUAAGGUAGGAUUCCCCUCUCACAGAUAGCCACAGCUUUCUUUAAAAGAAGGUACAUUUCCCGAGGAUUAAUCAUUAGGGAAAUUAUUGGUUUCUCCAUUAGCCAGAGUUGUGCAUCACCAGCAACAGAAACCAGCUAUAGCUGACUUAAAGGGAAAAGAAACAUAAAUAUUGGAUAGCUCACAAUAUCAUAAAGAUGACUGAAGAGAUGGUGAGAGAAACAUAAACUAUUUGUAAAUUCUACUCAUUUCCUCCAUAAAAGGGAAUGCAAAAUGUCAUUGAUUUGGGUUAGUUGUACUUCCUAUAUUACAUAAGUAUCACGAUUUGGGGUGACUUUUUACAAGGAGAUAGCAUUAUUUAAUCGUUUUUGAUUUGGGGAGUUAAAAAAGUAUCUUUGCUUUUUGUGCUGGUAGGUGCAUUAUAGGGUCUAAAGUUUUUUUCCUACCUUCCUUCUCACAGGUAGAGAACCUCCUUCUACUACCAUCAAAGUCCUUGAUCUGUUUCCCAACAUGAAUUAACCUUUCCAUGUUUUCGUUACAUUUGAACAUCAGGAAUGUGUAGACGGAAGCAGUUCAUCCUGGGAGGACUUCAAGCAGUAGAAUGAGGCCAACCUGCAAAACUGACCUGUCAUGCCCUGCCUCACCAUCUUAUCCAGUCCUGGACUCAACCAGCUGAACUAAUCCCUAAACCACCAAGUCUACCUUAGAAAAACAGUUCUGGAGGCUGCAAGUCCAAGAUCAAGGUGUCACCAUCAUUGGUUGCUUCUGGGGGCUGUUGAGAAAGAACGUGUUCCAUGCCUCCCACCUAGCAUCUAAAGAAGUGACAUCUUAUUGAUGAGUUGUGGAGAAGCUGCUGAACAUGCAUCUGUAUUUGGGAG